rnacentral:rRNA from 1 species
UACGGAGGGUGCAAGCGUUGUUCGGAAUUAUUGGGCGUAAAGCGCGUGUAGGCGGUUUGUUAAGUCUGGUGUGAAAGCCCUGGGCUCAACCUGGGAAGUGCAUUGGAUACUGGCAAACUUGAGUACGGGAGAGGAUAGUGGAAUUUCGAGUGUAGGGGUGAAAUUCGUAGAUAUUCGCAAGAACACCAGUGGCGAAGGCGGCUCACUGGCCCGAUACUGACGCUGAGGCACGAAAGCGUGGGGAGCAAACAGG